rnacentral:sRNA from 1 species
CGCAGGCGGGCGGGAGGGCAGGCACGGAGAGGCGGGCGCCGAGGAGGGGCAGGUAGGGCUGGGACGCAGGGGUAACUGGAUCCCCCGACUUCAGCCCAGGCCCUGGUCUGACCACCCUGGGAGCAGGGACUUUCCACAGUCAGCUGGACGCACACUCAGCCCAGUAAAAGAGGGGACCCAUCCCGGGAGCCCCGGGGAGGGCACAGCUGCCUCCUCCCGGGCUCCCCUGCCACCUGGUGCCUACCUGCCCCCUGCUCCCUGCCGGGUCCGGUCCUCACCUCAUCUUCAUCUGGCCUUGACUCUGCCCUUGAGGGGCCUAGGGGUGCAGCCGGCCUGCUCCGAGCUCCCCUGCAGAUGGAGGAGGCCAUCCUGGUCCCCUGCAUGCUGGGGCUCCUGCUGCUGCCCAUCCUGGCCAUGUUGAUGGCACUGUGUGUGCACUGCCACAGACUGCCAGGCUCCUACGACAGCACAUCCUCAGAUAGUUUGUAUCCAAGGGGCAUCCAGUUCAAACGGCCUCACACGGUUGCCCCCUGGCCACCUGCCUACCCGCCUGUCACCUCCUACCCACCCCUGAGCCAGCCAGACCUGCUCCCCAUCCCGUGAGUAGCUGCUCAG